AAAGUCAAUGAAAGUAGAGAUCCUAUGUUUUGUUGCACUUGCAAACCACGAUGUGUGUAAUCAAUCAUGUUAUUUUUUGUGUAACACAAAUGA